rnacentral:rRNA from 1 species
GAUGAACGCUGGCGGCGUGCCUAAUACAUGCAAGUCGAGCGAACGGACGAGAAUCUUGCUUCUCUGAUGUUAGCGGCGGACGGGUGAGUAACACGUGGAUAACCUACCUAUAAGACUGGGAUAACUUCGGGAAACCGUAGCUAAUACCGGAUAAUAUUUUGAACCGCAUGGUUCAAAAGUGAAAGACGGUCUUGCUGUCACUUAUAGAUGGAUCCGCGCUGCAUUAGCUAGUUGGUAAGGUAACGGCUUACAAAGGCAACGAUGCAUAGCCGACCUGAGAGGGUGAUGGGCCACACUGGAACUGAGACACGGUCCAGACUCCUACGGGAGGCAGCAGUAGGGAAUCUUCCGCAAUGGGCGAAAGCCUGACGGAGCAACGCCGCGUGAGUGAUGAAGGUCUUCGGAUCGUAAAACUCUGUUAUUAGGGAAGAACAUAUGUGUAAGUAACUGUGCACAUCUUGACGGUACCUAAUCAGAAAGCCACGGCUAACUACGUG